GACGGACCGUGCAAACGUUAUUCGGAAUCACUGGGCAUAAAGGGCGCGUAGGCGGCUCCAUAAGUCAGGGGUGAAAUCCGGCAGCUUAACUGUCGCAGUGCCUUUGAUACUGUGGAGCUAGAGGGAGGUAGGGGUCUGUGGAACUUCCGGUGGAGCGGUGAAAUGCGUUGAUAUCGGAAGGAACGCCGGUGGCGAAAGCGACGGACUGGAUCUCAUCUGACGCUGAGGCGCGAAAGCCAGGGGAGCAAACGGG
rnacentral:rRNA from 1 species